rnacentral:rRNA from 1 species
UACGGGGGGGGGUAAGCGUUGUUCGGAAUUACUGGGCGUAAAGGGCUCGUAGGCGGCCAACUAAGUCGGACGUGAAAUCCCUCGGCUUAACUGGGGAACUGCGUCCGAUACUGGAUGGCUUGGAUUCGGGAGAGGGAUGCGGAAUUCCAGGUGUAGCGGUGAAAUGCGUAGAUAUCUGGAGGAACACCGGUGGCGAAGGCGGCAUCCUGGACCGAUAUUGACGCUGAGGAGCGAAAGCCAGGGGAGCAAACGGG